rnacentral:rRNA from 1 species
GAUGAACGCUGGCGGCGUGCUUAACACAUGCAAGUCGAACGGAAAGGCCCUGCUUUCUUGGGGUGCUCGAGUGGCGAACGGGUGAGUAACACGUGAGUAACCUGCUCUUGACUUUGGGAUAACUUCAGGAAACUGGGGCUAAUAUCAUAUAGGAUCUCCUGCUGCAUGGUGGGGGUUGGAACGUCUCGGCGGUUGGGGAUGGACGCGCGGCUUAUCAGCUUGUUGGUUGGGGAGUGGCUUACCAAGGCAUUGACGGGUAGCCGGCAUGAGAGGGUGAACGGCGACAAUGCGACUGCGAGACGGACCAGACUGGUACGGGAGGCAGCAGGGGGAAGUAUGACACAGUGGGACGGAGCCUGUGGCGGAAGCGCCGGGGGUGUGAAGACGGCCUUCGGGGUGUGAACCGCAUUCGGUUGUGACGAAGCGUGAGUGACGGUAACGGGUAAAGAAGCACCGGCUAACUACGUG